rnacentral:rRNA from 1 species
GAUGAACGCUGGCGGCGUGCCUAAUACAUGCAAGUCGAGCGAACGGACGAGAAGCUUGCUUCUCUGAUGUUAGCGGCGGACGGGUGAGUAACACGUGGAUAACCUACCUAUAAGACUGGGAUAACUUCGGGAAACCGGAGCUAAUACCGGAUAAUAUUUUGAACCGCAUGGUUCAAAAGUGAAAGACGGUCUUGCUGUCACUUAUAGAUGGAUCCGCGCUGCAUUAGCUAGUUGGUAAGGUAACGGCUUACCAAGGCAACGAUGCAUAGCCGACCUGAGAGGGUGACCGGCCACACUGGAACUGAGACACGGUCCAGACUCCUACGGGAGGCAGCAGUAGGGAAUCUUCCGCAAUGGGCGAAAGCCUGACGGAGCAACGCCGCGUGAGUGAUGAAGGUCUUCGGAUCGUAAACCUCUGUUAUUCGGGAAGAACAUAUGUGUACGUAACUGUGCACAUCUUGACGGUACCUAAUCAGAAAGCCACGGCUAACUACGUG